CACAAGGAUGGAGUGAGGUUCCCAUGGUCAGUCUGCUACAGCAGCAUAACAUCAUCCAUCAUUGUGGGACAGCUGGGGGACAACAUCAUGGUGUUCAGAGUGGAAUAGUGUGUACAUUUGCUGCUGACAGUCGGGACAACGAUGCUGAGGAUGUGGGGGACAAGCAUGACGCAGAAGGAGAGCACCAGCAUUAAUAUCGAGUUGGCCAAGCAACAGCACCAGUCUGGCCUGCAGGAGCCCCAAUACAGAACCAUCCUUUCCCUCUCCUGAUCCCUAGCUCCUCCCACUGGACCUCCGGCCUCAAAGGGUCAGCAUCGUUACACAAGUCUGUGCAAUAAAUCCUCAGCACGUCAAGUUUUCACGCGCUGUUAUGAACAACCGAAAUAUCCGUGUCGAGAUUUCCCCAAGCAAGCCCGAGUAGUUUUGUUUAGCUCUAGUGCCAGAGUGGGAUGAGUGUUACAGAAGCGAGACGUUAUAGCAGUACUUAUGGUAAUGCUAACAGUUAACGCAAACAGUUAGUUCCUGCUGUGGACAUCACAAAGAAUCUCACGAAGAAUUAAACGUUGAAUAAUUUGUUUAAUUCUUUAUAAGACAGCUAUAUAUUCAGCAAGGAACGAGAGAAAAAAAGGAACAAUUGAAAUGAUUCAUUUAGAAGUAUAUCUGCUGUAGAUAGUUAGGACAGUAGUAGCGUUACAGACUGUCCUCAGCGCACAAUAUAUUCAUGUGGUGCACCACAGACACAAAUUCACCCCAUUAUUGAAAACAAGUUGCUAAAAGUAAACACGUCCGGUUUUGCACUCCGAGCCCAAAGGGCAUUGCAUUGAAUUGAGACUAAAGAAGGCUAAAAAACAUGACACCAGUUUUGUUGUAUGCUCCAGUACACCCUUCGACUCUCAGCCCGAAGUUAAUCAGAACUCAAACUCGGCCCUUAACAAUAUCCGCGAGGCCAGCAUAUCAGCUCAGCUUCUGAGCUUCAGCAACUGCUAAGCACAGAAGACAAAGGAGUAGUGAAAGGCUCAGCCAAAUCAAAGUCCAUCAAUGUGAGGGUGACACAGCCUUUCCAUGUCCUGGUAUUGCAACAUGAAGGACAUUUUAGCUGAAACUAACAAGGGAGAGAACUGUAGAUCUGCACCAGCACAGAGCACCAGCAUUGAUAUCAAGUUGGCCCAGCAACCGCACGAGCCCUACCUGCAGGAGCCCCAGUCCAGAACGACCCUUCCCCUCCCCUGACUUCUAACUCAUCCCCCUUGACCUCCUGACUCAAAAAGUCAGCAUGAUUGAAUAACUCUGUUCUGCAGGAAAUUCUGAGCAUGAUUCUGUUCUGAACAAACGCAAUGCCCAUGUCACGUUUUCCAAACAUAAGCCUGGGUAGUUUUGUUAAGCUAGAGUUCCCUGUGGGCCUGAGAGGGACAAGUGUUACAGACACGAAAAGUAAUAGCAGUAGUUAUGGUAACGCCAACAGUCAGUUGUUGCUGUUGGACAUCACAACAAAUAUCAUGAAAAAUAAAACGUUCAAUAACUUGUUCCAAUCUUUAUGGGACAAACAGAAAUUGAACGGGAGAAAAUCAAGGAACAAUAAAAGCGAAAGCUUUCCUAGUGGGAUACUUCUGCUGUUAAUAGUUUGGACGACUGUAGGGUUACGGACUGCCCCAGAUUGUCCUCUCAGCGGCCAAAAUAUCAUAAUAGAACGGACUUUUGGCAAUGUUACUGACAAACAAAGGGAGUAAUGACUUGGUUGUGAAUACCCAGAGGAAGAUAUAUCCAUGCUGACACAGAAAGGAAGUAAAGACUAUGCUGUGAACAUCCAGAGCAAGAUAUAUCCAUGCUGAAACAGAAAGGCAGUAAUGACUAUGCUGUGAACACCCAGAGCAUAAUACAUACAUGCUGACACAUAAAGGCAGUAAUGACUUGGUUGUGAAUACCCAGAGCACAAUACAUCCAUGCUGACACAGAAAGGCAGUAAUGACUUGGCUGUGAACACAGAACACGUUACACCCAUGCUGACACAGACAGGCGGUAAUGACUUGGCUGUGAACACAGAACACGAUACACCCAUGCUGACACAGAAAGGCAGUAAUGACUUUGCUGUGAACUCAGAGCACAAUACAUCCAUGCUUACACAUAAAGGCAGUAAUGACUUGGCUGUGAACACAGAGCUUAAUACAUCCAUGCUGACACAGAAAGGCAGUAAAGACUUGGUUGUAAACACCCAGAGCACAAUACAUCCAUGAUGACACAGAAAGGCAGUAAAGACUUGGUUGUUUAAACACCCACAGCACAUUUCAUCCAUGAUGACACAGAAAGGCAGAAAAGCCUUGGUUGUAAACACCCAAAGCACAAUACAUCCAUGAUGACACAGAGAGGCAGUAAAAACUUGGUUGUUAACACCCAGAGCACAUUACAUCCAUGAUGACACAGAAAGGAAGUAAUGACUUGGCAGUGAACACAGAACACGAUACACCCAUGCUGACAAAGAAAGGCAGUAAUGACCUUGCUGUGAAGACAGAACACGAAACACCCAUGCUGACACAGAAAGGCAGUAAUGACUUGGCUGUAAACACAGAGCACAAUACAUCCAUGCUGACACAGAAAGGCAGUAAUGACUUGACUGUGAACACAGAGCACAAUACAUCCAUGCUGACACAGACAGGCAUUUAUGACUUGGUUGUGAACACAGAGCACAAUACAUCCUUGUUGACACAGAAAAGCAGUAAUGACUUUGCUGUUAACUCAGAGCACGAUACAUCCAUGCUGACACAGAAAGGCAGCAAUGACUUGGAUGUAAACACCCAGAGCACAAUACAUCCAUACUGACACAGAAAGGCAGUAAAGACUUGGUUGUAAACACCCAGAGCACAAUACAUCCAUGCUGACACAGAAAGGCAGUAAAGACUUGGUUGUAAACACCCAGAGCACAAUACAUCCAUGCUGACACAGAAAGGCAGUAAAGACUUGGUUGUAAACACACAGAGCACAAUACAUCCAUGCUGACACAGAAAGGCAGUAAAGACUUGGUUGUUAACACCCAGAGCACAAUACAUCCAUGCUGACACAGAAAGGCAGUAAAGACUUUGUUGUAUACACUGAGAGAUCCAUACAUCCAUGGGGUGUGCCACAAGACUCAAAUUACGCCCACUAUUGUGAACAAGGUGCUUAAAGUGAACAUGUCUGGUUUCUGUUUUCUGUUUUGUUAUGAGCACUUAGCACUCCGAGCCAAAAAGGCCUCACAUUGAAUUGAGAAGGCUUUGAAAAUGACAGCAGUUUUGUUGUGUGGUCCAGUACGCAACCUGAAGAACUCAGAACUCAAACUCGCCUCUUAGCAAUAUCAACAAGGCCAGCAUGUCAUCUCAGCUCCUUGAGCUUCAGUGAACUUUACUAGCAAACAUGACAAACGUCAUUGAAGUGAAAGUCGAUGACAGCCCCCUUCUUGCAAACAUACUACAACUCGCUUAAGAAAUUCAGCAUGAAGACGUCUUGCGUCAGAAUACCAAGCCUCCUAUCAAUAUCUCCUCUCAUGUUGGCCACAUCAACACUUCCAACAGCAGAGCCUUGGUGAAUUGACUUCCGUCUCAGCAUCGAUGUCGCUUAGCAACAAUUGGAUGAUGGGCGUCGACAAAUUAGGCCGGACAAGUCGCUCGAACUGAAACGAUCUGAUCCAACAGGUAGAGCAGGCAUUGCGUGACACGUCUGUUAAUGUGACUGACCUCGAUAUGUUGUUCUCAAAUAAUGUGAACCUUAGGCCUGGAGAGCAGUAUGCGAUUGACGCCAUUCAACAACAGUUGUUGUCGGCAAUUCUCGGGUUUGGGGUGGCGACUUCGGCGUCAGGACUCGCUCCAUCUCUGUCCAUGGCCCAGUCGCAGCAGCAGCAACAAGAAAAAUAAAGCCUGUUCCUACAGGAACCUAUGCAAUCAUAGAUCGGUACCUAGCUGAACAACAGGCUGUAUGGUCAGCUGGUCCCAGACGCCCAGUGACACUUCCUGGCCCAGACCCUUGGGGCAAAUGCUCAACUAUACCUACCCGCAGGGUGGAGCCACUCUGAACCUGGGGCUCCAUACUUUCUUGGCCAGGGGCCAAGUUUACCUUGUCAAUAAGGUACAUGUAGGGACACAUUCCUUGGAUGCCCUAAGGUUUCUCUAUCUGUUCACAAAGGCUUUAUACUCACAAGUUCAAGCCCAGUGAGCGAUGUUCACAUUAUCAAACUCUGCAUAUCAAUAGAAUCCCGGAUAUCAAAGCGUUGAGCUUUUUUUGAAGCAUUUGCACCAGCAACAGUCAUCAUCUGGAGUUACUGGCAUCUCUAUGGUGUGGAACCCUCCGUCUUUGAACAUCAUAACAGCACAUGAACCAGUGGCACUCAUCAUCUCAAGAUUCUGGUAUAUCCAUGGUGCAGGACCCUCGGUCUGCAAAGAUCAUGCAGAGCGAACCUCAGAUGCCAUUUGAUGAAAUCAAACCAUUCAAUCAGAAACACAGCCUGUUGCAGCAGUUGUUACCAUAUUGACCCCAGUCAAACCUAAGAAGUCCAUAGAUAAAUACUUUUUUAGAUGUGCUAGUCUUUACGUACCUCCUGGUUUGUUCAGCACUUACUCUGACUCUUUGAAUUUAAUGACGGGUGAAAAUGAAUGACCUUGUUCAGUUCGAAAUGACACAUCACAACAAUUCAAGUGGAAAGCCAGAAAGUCAUGUCAACAGCCACAUUUUGUAUGUGUAACAGCCAAGUUGUUUUCAAAGAAAAACAAUAUUUUACAUUUUAUUUUUUAUUUGACCAAUGUUUCAUGGGAAUUAUGAUGCUGUCAGUCUCUUUAUGUUGAAAGUUUUGGUUAAAAAUAGCAUGUUAAUUUUUUUUUUAAAGCACACAUAUUGCAUUUAUAUCCAAUGUCUUUGUCUGUAUAAUGAAUUUUUCACUACAUAUUUUGAUCCUUAUAAUGGUAAAUGUAUGGGAAAAACAAUUUUAUCAAAGAUAUUCUAAGAUUGUCAAGUCUGUUUAAAUGAUGCUGGUAACUUUGACAAAAUUGAAAAAAAAGGAGUAUUUUCAUAUUAUAAGAUAUGUUUCAGUUGUCUGUUUUUACCCGUAAUAUAGAUAAGCUAAUUUAAUGAAUUGUUCACGAAGGUUUAUAACUUUUACGCUUCAGCUUUUUCUGUCUUUUAAUCCUUCCGAAAACAAUACUAGUCAAUUUGCUGAUUUGGGUCGGUUUUCGAUCAUGAAUCUUGUUUAGUAGCAUACUAUUUCAUUGGAAUAAUAAUGCAUUCUGGGAAAAAUUAUUUAAUCUAACUAAAAUUAUUGAUUCUGUAAAUACCACUUUGUUGAUUUCAAUGGAUAUUGUUUGUAAAAUUAAUAUAGUAUGACUAUUGCGUGUUUGGGAAAGCUUUUAAUGAAACUGAGUAUUAUAAAAAACAAAAAAACAAAUAAAGAGUUUUAUGAAAAUUGUCAAAACUUAUUAUUGUUAAUUUGUGUUGUUAGAUCAUAGAUGUGUAUGCUCACAAUUGUUAAACUUUGUUUUUGGACACAAUAGUUUAUUAUGCGUAUCCUCUUUAAUAAGUGAGUAACUUAAUCAAGAUUUAUUGAUCACUGUAUAUAUUCUGUAGGUAUAUUUUGCCAUUUAUACAUAAAGCAACUGUAGAACAAUUGUAUUUUAAAUGUAAAUUAUUCUUGUAUUGUUGCCAUUUGUAUAAUAUAAACUAACUGUUUACCUUAGUUUGUAAAAACCUUUGUAAAAAAACAUUUCCUGUGUGAAUGCUCAUAUAUAUAUUAAACUGUUAAAAUAAUGCACAGUACCAGAAAAAAAUAGUCAAUUACACAGUAAGGGAAAGUGUUGUCAUAUGCUAACAAUUGUAUAAAAUUGCAAUUGUCUCUAUUUGUAAUAAUAGAGAGCAAUAUUAUUUGCUUAAAAAAUAAAGAUGUCUGCUUUGUAAAUUAAUAAUUGUGUUUACAUCCCAACAUAACACGUAAAUACAUUAAAGUCUAAAAGGAUUUUUUGGAAUAAACACUUAAAUAAAUAUAUGUGCGUGUAUACGCUGAUAAAAAAAAUUACAUUUCAUUUAGUUUUGUAACAGCGCAUUUGACCUUUCACGUUGACCAUCCCACACUUGCUGUCAGUGCAGUGCCUUCAUUAGGGUCAUUUUUAUGCUCCUGGUAGGGUGGCAUAUAGCAGUUGAACUGUCCGUCAGUAUGUCAGUCUGUCCUUUUGUCCGAAAAAAACUUAAACAUUGGCCAUAACUUUUUGAAUAUUGAAGAUAGCAACUUGAUAUUUGGCAUGCAUGUGCAUCUCAUGAAGCUGCACAUAUUGAGUGGUGAAAGGUGAUGGUCAAGGUCAUCCUUCAAAGUCAAAUGUCAAAUUUAUUGCGUCUGUCCGUCCGUCCAAAACUUUAACAUUGGCCAUAACUUGUUCAAUAUUGAAGAUAGCAACUUGAUAUUUGGCAGCCAUGUGUAUCUCAUGGAGCUACACCUUUUGAGUGGUAAAAGGUCAAGGUCAUCCUUGAAGGUCAAAGGUCAAAAAAAAUAAUCAAAGUGGCGUUCCUAUGAAGCUGCACAUUGUGAGUGGGUCAAGGUCAUUAGUCAAGGUCAUCCUUCAAGGUCAAAGGUCAAAAAAAUAAUCCAAAGCGGCGUUCUCAUGAAGCUGCACAUUGUGAGUGGUGUGAGUUCAAGGUCAAGGCCAACCGUCAAGGUCAUCCUUCAAGGUCAAAAGUAAAAAAAAAUUCAAAGCGGCGUCCUCAUGAAGCUGCACAUUUUGAGUGGUGGACGUUCAAGGUCAAGGUCAUCCUUCAAUGUCAAAGGUAAAAAAAAAAUCAAAGCGGCGCAAUAGGGGGCAUACUGUGUUUCUGACGAACACAUCUCUUGUUUGUAAAUAUCCCACUGUUUAAGUUCAGCAAAUGUUUUAAGACCAGAUUUCCUUAAACUUGGGGGUGUUAUUAUUUUACUUUUAUUGAAUGCAUGAAACAUGUGUGUUCCGUUGUUGAAUAGCUAAACAUAGCUUGAUGUGUGUAGAUUGUGUGACAAAUGUUGAUCAAAUUGUUACAUAGAAAAAAACACAAUCUUAGUUAACUUGUAUGUGUUAAUUACCAAACACAAAUAUAAGUAUUUUGUAACAAUAUAAGUAUUGUCUUUAUUUGAAAUACAGAAUGAAAUGCAAUUUUAAAAUCAUGUCUUUAUAUGUUCAUCUUCUCCAAAUAAGCAUUUUGAAUAAGCAAAUAUAAUAUCUCUAUGGAAAGUAUCCGUAGGCCCCAUGCAAUCGCUUGUGUACCUCAUAUUGAUCAGGGUCUUUCUAAAUUACUUCAUGAUUGGUUAUCCCUGUCUGAAUUGUGAAAAUAGCUUCAACAUCGUGAGAUAACUGUUAAGAGGAUUUCAAUAUUAAAAGUUAAAAUAGUAUCUUAGCUGUAACCGUACAUCUGUUGCAUUUAUUUUAACAUGUUUAUAUGUUUUGGCUCCCUGAGUUUUAUAUUGUUUAUAAUCUUGCAUAUUUAAUUGUGUUUUAUAAGACAAACAUCAUUAUACUGAUAAUGUUGUUUUUGUCCAACAUUUCUAUGUAUACAAGUUGUAUGUAAAUAAUUAAAUAUGUUUAUGUUGAUGAUAUGUAUUUCCCGAUCUAAGUUUGAUGUUGAACUCUCAAUAAACGACAUGUUUUGCCAAUUAAAUCCCGAAUGAUUG